rnacentral:lncRNA from 1 species
AAAGGUCAGUGAGUUCCCCGAUGCUUUCCUGACUGCGCGCCUAGGUCGCUAGUAUUGCUCUAGGCCAGAGGGCUGGAGUCCACCACCUGCUGCUGAUACGUAUCAGAAAAGCCUUGGGCUUCCAGAUCCCUGGCUCCUUCUGGAAGGUGGCCUGGGAACGUCAGUGUAAAGCUGAUAUAUAACCGGAAGCCUGAAACAUAACAAUAUUCUCACUACAUUUUGCUGGCUGAGGAGGGACAGGUUUCAUCAGUGUCUGGUUCAAGCACUUCCUGGUAUACUCCAUCUCCACACUUGAUUCUUUGGUGAUUGAGGAGGCCCCAGCCAGCCAGCAGAGAGCACGGGGCCUGGAAAGGUAUUUGGACAGUGUCCUGGACUUUCACUGAAUGAUAGACACCACCAGUUAUUCUAUUUUGUUAAACUAACUAGCAAGUGAAAGAAAGGAAUCAAGGUUGGUGUUCUCGGGCCUGUUUGUAGAGAGUUACACACAUGGGGUUGUGAAAAAUCAGCUGUGGGGCUGGAGAGAAGGCUCAACAGUUUAGAGCUUGGUUCUCUUGCAGAGCUCCCCGUUUGGUUCCCAGCACCCAUCUGUAACUCCAGUGCCUGGGGAACUAGAUGCCCUCCUCUGCAGGCACUAUACAUGAUACACAUACAGAUACAUAAUUAAAAACAAAAAUCUUUUUAAACUUGCUUAUUCGGGUCCAGAUUGCGCUGCUCAGCUGGAAUACUUAGACUUUACAUGAGAAUCCUCAUCGCUCGGAAACUCCAGCAGCUAUGUUCUUUCUUCCCAGUUGUGUUUCAAAUGAAUCCUUAUUGAUUGAUCACACAUCGCAAUCAAGUUAUUUUCCAAUAACCACCUUUACUGAGUUUCUAGAGCCUUGUAUGUUCUUAUGAAUAUAGAAUCUAAUACUUCAAUCUGUAGCAGUCUGCAAAUCUAGAGUUCAUGGGGACGACAAGCUAAGCCCAGACACUCAGCUCAGAGCUUUCCGUGGAGUGCAAAGGAAUCCCCCAUCCACAACAGCCAGGAAAGCUGUUUAGCAAAGUAACACCCUGCUGGCAGGUGUUUAGGAGAUAAAGCAAACUAUUGGCAUCCCAAGGCUUGCCUGGCUGUUACUACUUCCUGUUUUUAACAGACACAAAGGAAUCAUUACAGUCCAUUUCCUGGAAAUAACAUCCUUCCUAAGAGCCUGUUUCAUCACCCUCGGAAAGAACAAGAAUUGCUUAGAUGUUCAAAAAUAUUGUCUUACAUUACGCAAAUAAUAAUAAUAAAAAUCUUGUUUCUGCAUAGAAAUUUCAGGGGACAUGUAACAGCCCAGAAAGACUAUUCUUUACAGACAAGCCAGCGUGGUAAAACAAAACAAAAUAAGCAACAAAAGAGUCUUAGUUCCAGUCACAAAGGAAGAGAACAAUUAGAAGCCUUAGCGAGGAGUAGUACACAUCACUUCAGGUCACUUCUGUAAUUGUCACAUGGUCCCUUUCUUUCUUUUUUUUUUUUUAAAGAUUUAUUAUUAUAUCUAAGUACACUGUAGCUGUCUUCAGACACACCAAAAGAGGGUGUCAGAUCUUAUUAAGGAUGGUUGUGAGCCACCAUGUGGUUGCUGGGAUUUGAACUCAUAACCUUUGGAAGAGCAGUCAGUGCUUUUACCCGCUGAGCCAUCUCUCCAGCCCCUGACUGUUUCUUUCUUAUGUAGAACAAUUGUUCUUACUUGAGGGUGACUUUUGUGCCCAAGGUUUCUGUAUUAAGGUUCUCUAGAGUUACAGAACUUAUUGAAUGAAUCUAUCUAUCUAUCUAUCUAUCUAUCUAUCUAUCUAUCUAUCUAUCUAUCUAUCUGGAAUUAAUUGGAACAACUUAAAGGCUGCAGACCAACUAACCCAACAAUGGCCAGCUGUGAGUGGGAAGUCCAAGAAUGUAGUAGUAGUUCGGUCCUACAAGGCUUGGUGUUUCAGCUGGUCUUCUGUCUAAGCUGGAACCCUGAAGAAUUAGGCUCCAAUAGACGUGCUGGCAAUAAGUGCAAGCAGGUGAAGAAGGAACGCUCCCAUCUUCUGUUGUCCUCCAGAUCUGGAUUAAAGAUGUGUGUCCAUCCAGAUUAAGAUCUUGUGUUGUCUUCCUGCUUCAAGAUCCAGAUCAAAAGUGUGCCCUCUGUGGAUUGUAGUUCAUUCCAGAUAUAGUCAGGUUGACAACCAAGAAUAGCCAACAUGGUUUGCACACUAUUUUCAAACUAAACAGCAAGUGAUAAAAAGUCAUAAACCUGGAGUUUUCAGGCCUGUUUGUCAGAACAAUUCACAUGAGGUUGUAAAACUCCAGCUGUGGGACUGGAGAGAUGGUUCAGUUGUUAGAGCCCCAGGUGUGGUCGCCAAGAUCCCUGGUCUAAUUCUGGAAUCCACAUAUGGCUCACAACCUUCUGUAACUCUGGCUACAUUUUCCAGUGCUAAGAGAUAAUAAAACAGUUUGUUACAU